rnacentral:rRNA from 1 species
AAUUCGAUGGUAAGCGAAGAACCUUACCAAGGCUUGAAAUCCCGAUAGCAGUUCAUCGAAAGAAGAACCUCAUUUAGUUGGAUCGGUGACAGGUGAUGCAUGGCCGUCGUCAGCUCGUGUCGUGAGAUGUAUGGUUAAGUCCAUUAACGAGCGCAACCCUUAUGUUUAGUUGGAUUUUUCUAAACAGACUGCCCUGGCAACAGGGAGGAGGGAGGGGAUGACGUCAGGUCAGUAUUUCCCUUACGUCUUGGGCUACAAACACGCUACAAUGGCCGGUACAAAGGGCAGCAAACCCGCGAGGGGGAGCAAAUCUCAUCAAAACCGGUCUCAGUUCGGAUUGCAGGCUGAAACUCGCCUGCAUGAAGCUGGAAUCGCUAGUAACGGUAGGUCAGCACACUACCGUGAAUACGUUCCCGGGUCUUGUACACACCGCCCGUCAA